AUCUGCACUCGAGAUAUUCAACACAUGCCACGUAGUGAUUAAUUUUACAGCUUUCAAAGACAUACCAUUGAUCUAUCUAAGUUGUUCAUUUUCCGGGGACAAAGUUAGUGGCAUAAGCCCAUGCAUUGUUGGUCGCCGGAUCAGCAAGGUGGUCGAAAAGGUUCUCAAUGGGACCCUUUCCGGUGACAAUAGCCUGGACGAAGAAUCCAAACAUGGAGAACAUUGCCAGGCGGCCAUUCUUGAUCUCCUUAACCUUCAACUCUGCGAAGGCAUCAGGAUCAUCAGCCAAUCCAAGUGGGUCAAAAGCACCACCUGGGUAAAUUGGGUCAAGUCCUUCACCGAGUGGUCCACCACCGACUCUGUAUCCUUCAACAAAUCCCAUGAGCACAACUUGGCAAGCCCAGAUUGCAAGAAUGCUCUGAGCAUGGAUAAGGUUUGGGUUGCCAAGGUAGUCAAGGCCACCCUCGGAGAAGAUUUGAGAUCCAGCCUUGAACCAAACUGCCUCUCCAAACUUGACACCGUUCCUUGAAAGAAUUUCAGGGAAGACGCAGCCAAGGGCACCAAGCAUAGCCCAUCUGCAGUGGAUCACCUCAAGCUCACGGUUCUUAGCAAAUGUCUCUG
rnacentral:lncRNA from 1 species